AUCUGUUUUUUCGUAUAAAAAUAUAUAAAAUACCAAAAUCUAAAAUGCUGUCAACUGCCAUUUAUCGAUAGAUUUGACUAAGCUUAACGUAUUUGCACAUUAAACUGUUCCACACUGGCAUCAGCAAUAUUUUUAUGUAUUUCAUUAACCUCUGCUUGCGUCAUUGUGCGUUCCAUAUGGCGAUAAACGAUACGGAAGCAAACGCUGGAUUUGCCCGUUUUCGGAUGUUUAAAUUUGUCCACUAAACUUAUCUGAAUAAAAUGGAAAAACAAAUCAAUUAUUAUUUGCUUAGAUAUUUUUUAUAUAGAAUUUACCUGUUCCACGACAUCCCCCGCAACCGAACGAACCAAGUCAUAAAAGUCGUUGGGAGAGAAACCUUCAUUAACCUCCACAUCAGGUGGCAGCCAAAAGGACAAGUCAUUUGUGCAUUGUGGAUAGUGCGAAAUAGGUUUGUACUUUGUUAGUUUCUGCAGAUCCUGCUCACUGAACUGCGACAAGAAUCCACUGUCGUUGGACCAAAACAAUCGAAUGUCAGGUAUAUCAAACAAAAUCAUGGCUAAGCGCUCCAAACCCAACCCGAAGGCAUAGCCAAUGGACUGAUGCACACCCGCGUGUUGUAAAAUCUCGUGACGCAUAAUACCGCAGCCGAGCACUUCUAGCCAGUUGUCCUUAAAGUAAAUCUCCAACUCCCACGAGGGCUGAGUAAAUGGGAAAUACGUGUCCACCCAACGGUAUUUGAUGCGUGGCCCAAACAGAUCCUUGGUAAGACCCACAAGCACAUGCUUCAUCUCAUGCUCCAUCAAUUUGACGGCUUCCAAUGUAUGACACGGCUGUUUGGUUUGAUCCAUGAACUUGGAGGAGGGCAAAAUCCGCUUUGGAUUGGCUAUCGAACCAGUCCACGUCUCCUCGAACAGCUCCAGGCCGGGAUUACGCUCAAAGAGCUUAUCUUUGGUAACCAGACGCACUGCAUCGGCCUGAUGGAACACUGGAUAAUGCGUGCUAUCGAUCUCAUCGCGUCGAUACACUUCUCCAACCACCAGAAAAUUAUCCAAUCCACCCGAGAUUAGCUCCACUUGAUGGGCUGUGGUGUGGGCACGCAACAAAUGCUGCUCAUUGAUGUAAUAACAAUCCGAUUUCUGUCGACUCACAUGAUCACUGGGUAUCAGUAAGUUGUCGAAAUUCUGUUGCACUGUCACAACGGGAUUCAAUUUGUCGUAUACUGAGAAGAGUGGAUUUCCACGCUGAUUGCGAUACGCGGCAUAGAAAUAGUUAACAAUACGCUGGCGUAUAAUCGACAGUGGAUGAUCUUGUUGCAGAUGCUUAUUCAUUCCCAGAUGCGUCAAUAUUUUGGGCGUUACAUUCGUCCAGCUGUCAGUGGCGUACGUGCCUCCAUUGAUUUCCAAUUGUGAUUGGUUGUUUGGUGUCACUAUUUUACUGGCCUCCUCGGCAGCGCUGCUGGCCAACAAGCGUCGCGAACAGAGCCUUGCACUAUGCACUGUGCGCAGUGUUAAUAACAUUUUCAUGCUGUUUAUUUUUUAUUUAUUUAUUUAAUUGACAGAAAGUAGGUCUAUUGCAUUAUUUACUAUCUAUUACAAAACAACAGCUGUUUGUGUUAUCGAUGCGCGUGCGUCGUUCGGGUCGAUAAUUCUACAAUAUAAUUCUAUCGAUACGUACUGAUUUGGAUGUUAUUAAGCAGGGCUGCAUUUCGUUAUCAAAAUCUAUCGACUUCAAAUAUUCAACGUUGUGAAGAUUAAGCUGCUUGAGCAGUGUGUAGUUAAUAUUAAUUGUAUUUUAAUAUUAAUUAAAAUGCAGUAUUAUUUUAAUAAUUAUUUAUUUAAUACAAAAACAUCAACAUUGAUAUAUGCCUAAUUUGUUUCAUUUGUAAUGGCAAACUAAUAGAGAAUAUAUGAUGAUUACAGAUCGGAGCAUAAAUAUAUGCCAUUUAAAUUAUAACUUCGCUUUUGAGAUGCUUCUUGUAUUGGAAUAGAGGUGUUGUGAAUAAUUAAAUGAGGUUGAACGGCUGUGUAUGAUGAUGAUUUUAGACCAAUGGAUAGCUGGCAGCUGUGGCAAUACCGCACUGAUUCUUCGCAUUACGCGUCAUCUUGAUGAAGCCCUUGUCACCCCAGGUGGUGCCCCAAGAGUUCUUAACCAACCAGAAGUCCUGGCCAUUCUCGUCUGUGCCAAAGCCAACGGCAAGCACACCGUGAUCCAAGUUCUGGGGAUCGCACUGUGGCUCAUUGUAGACGCCCUCGGAGUAAAACUGGAAUGAUUCGUGCGAGGCAUCGAUGGCAACUGAAACGGGUCCAAUAGUGGCAACUGCCUCAGCCAUUUUCUUCUCAUUGCCUUGAGGAAUAUCAACAAAGCCGCGAUCUGUGGCUCCAACGGUGUCCUUGUUGAAGUGGCAGGAAUCAUCAAUACCCUCAUAGGCAUAAGACUUCUCGGUGUCAAUGCCACCAUUGUCCUUGAUGUAACGGAAAGCGUUGUCCAUCAGGCCACCGUUGCAGCCAUUGUUACCAUACGAGGUGGAGCAAUCGACCAGAUUCUGCUCGGACAACGACACCAAGGCGCCAGUCUUGCGGAAAUGCUGUCCCUCCAAAGCGCCAGUGCUGGAGAA